rnacentral:lncRNA from 1 species
CUCCCCCGCCAUGUUGUUGGUUCCGCAGCCAGGGCAGAUGUAGCGCCUCCGCAGCUCCUCGGCGAGUGAAUUGUGCACGCUCUCCAGCUCGGCCACGCGCUUGCGUCGAGUCAAGGAAAGCUUCCGCGAACACACGCCAAGGAAGAAGCAGCAGCAAGAGCAUGCAUCUAUGUAAAUGCGCAAAUGUAGCGAUUUCUAGACUGGUGAAAAAGGAUAUCCUCCGAGCUCCUGCAACUGCUUCGUCUCUUUCAUCACAGCCUCCAUAAGAACUCUCUUUGCUCGGACAUCAGCCAGUUCAUGACGCAGCUGUAAAACAAGGCAAACAGUAUUUCUGAGAGAUCAUGCCCAUAUAAAUCGCCGAACAAUGUNNNNNNNNNNNNNNNNNNNNNNNNNNNNNNNNNNNNNNNNNNNNNNNNNNNNNNNNNNNNNNNNNNNNNNNNNNNNNNNNNNNNNNNNNNNNNNNNNNNNAGAGUUGGCUUACACUCGCCACAAGCUACAUCAGAGUCACAUCAGUACAUUACAUAAUCAUCAAGAGUAAGAGCAGGGUCCGACUACGGACGAAAACAAACGACAAAAUAAAAACGACGUCCAUCCUUGCUAUCCCAGGCUGCCGGCCUGGAACCCAUCCUAGAUCGAUGAAGAAGAAGAAGAAGAAGCAACUCCAAAUGAACAAUCAAUGCGCUCGCGUCAAGUAACCUUUACCUGUACCUACAACUGGUGUUGUAGUAAUCUGUGAGCCACAGGGGACUCAACAAUCUCAUUUCCAAAGGUAUCAAGACUAGCAAAGCUUAAUGGGUGAGGCAUGGUUAAGUGGUGAGGUUGCAGCAGCGGCUAAGAAUAUAUAUAUGGUGGCUAACUUACGAGUACAAGAAAUAAGAGGGGGAAGAUCUACGCAUAACAGGCGUGACUACUGAUGAUCAAAUGAAUGAUCCUGAACACCUACCUACGUCAGACAUAACCCCACCGUGUCCUCGAUCGGAGAAGGAACUCACGAAAGAGACAGUCACGGUUACGCACACAGUUGGCAAGUUUUAAUUAAGUUAACUUCAAGUUAUCUAGAACCAGUGUUAAACAAAGCUUCCACAUUGCCACAUAACGGCGGGCACGGCUUUCUGAAAAGAUUUAACCCUGCAGGGGUGCUCCAACUAGUCCAUCACAAAUUACCACAAGCCGCAUAGAAAUCCUCAGUCACGAAGCUCGCGAUCUCGUCGGAUUCCCUAGUGGAAAACCUCAACUCUGAGAUUACCCAAAGCAUCACCGGAAUCCCGAUGCACAAGAUAUCUCGUCAAAGGUAAAACUAAUCCAGCAAGGCCACCCGGCGUGUCGACGAUCCCGAUAGGAGCCGCGUAUCUCGUUCUCAGGACACGGCGGAUAAGCGACGCGUACAAGUGCCAAACCUCGAGUUUCCUCGCGGUGGCCCCGCACAGUGCUCUGUUUUGGACCAACACUCAUGAGGAGCACUGGCCCGAGGGGUUGAUUAAAUUAUCCUCGGGGUCCGGAAAGUCCCUAUGCAAUUUUAUUAGGUGAUUAGGCAAAUGUAGUACCAAUGUUGGGCCUUGCCAGACCAGCUUUAGUCUAAAACGAAUUAUCAAGGGGGUCCCCAUAACAACCCCGAUCGUGUUAGGAGCGCUCAUUUAUGGAACAUAACACCGGUAGCCGGAAACUAAGGGGGCAAAGGUGGAACAAAACACCAGGCUAGAAANNNNNNNNNNNNNNNNNNNNNNNNNNNNNNNNNNNNNNNNNNNNNNNNNNNNNNNNNNNNNNNNNNNNNNNNNNNNNNNNNNNNNNNNNNNNNNNNNNNNUAGGGCGAAUUCUCUGUCGAUCCCGAGUUAAUCACUUUUGUUGAAUCUGAUCCUUUUCAUGGUUAUGAGUCUGAAACGGUUGAAACACAUCUUACCAAACUGCAUGAUAUAGCCACCCUAUUCACGAAUGAGGAAAAUAUUCGCCAUUACUAUAUCCUUAAGUUGUUUCCUUUCUCACUAAAGGGUGAUGCUAAGACUUGGUUCACUUCUCUUGCCCUUGGUUGUGUGCGUAGUCCCCAGGAUAUGAUUUACUACUUCUCUGAGAAAUAUUUUCCUGCCCAUAAGAAACAAGCUGCCUUGCAGGAUAUAUAUAACUUUGUGCAAGUUGAAGAAGAGAGUCUCCCACAAGCUUGGGGGAGGCUUGUCCAGCUACCUAAUGCUUUGCCUGAUCACCCUCUUGAGAAAAAUGAAAUUCGUGAUAUCUUUUAUAAUGGACUAACCAAUGCUUCUAGGGACCACCUAGAUAGUUGUGCUGGUUGUGUUUUCAGGGAGCGAACUCUGGACCAAGCUGAAAUUCUAUUGAAUAAUAUCUUGAGCAAUGAUAAUGCUUGGACUAUUCCCGAACCACCUCUGAAGCCAACUCCGAAGAAAAGAGGUAUUCUAUUCCUCAGUCCUGAAGAUAUGCAAGAAGCCAAGAAAUAUAUGCAAGAGAAAGGCAUUAAAUCUAAAGAUGUUAAGAAUCUACCACCUAUCGAAGAAAUACAUGGUCUUGAUAACCCGACAUAGGUAGUAGAGGUAAAUUCUCUUCGUAGAUUCAAUGAGAGUGAUAUUCCUUAUGAUAAACCUGCUAGCUUAUGCUUAGAUGAAUUUGAUAACUUUGUUGCCCAACAACAAAGUUUCAAUUAUUAUGUUAGCACACAAUUGAGACAAAAUGCUUGUAUGAUUGAUCAUAUAAGUGCUUGUGUGGAUAGAAAUGUCAAUGAUCUUAAGCUUUUGAGUAAAGAUGACUCUAUGGUCACUACUCAAGUAGAACAAGUACUUAAGGCUCAAAAUGACUUGCUCAAUGAGUUGAAUGACAAGUCUGUUAGAGUUGUCACUAGAGGUGGUAGAAUGACUCAGGAACCUUUGUACCCCGAGGGUCAUCCUAAGAGAAUUGAACAAGAUUCUCAAGGAGUUAACACUGAUGCACCUAGUCAUCCUGGUAUUAGGAACAAAAAGAAAGAUGAUAGGAACUUGCAUGCCAGCAAACCUGUUGCCGUUACACCCGAGAAUCCAAACGAUGUCUCUGUUUCUGAUGCCGAAACACAAUCUGCUGAUGAACAUGAGCCUAGUGAUAAUAUUGAUAGUGGUGUUCAUGUUGAUGCUCAACCUAGUAAUGAUAAGGAUGUGGAGAUUGAACCUGUUGAUCUUGAUAACCCACAACCUAAGAACAGGAGAUACGAUAAGAACGACUUUAUUGCUAGGAAGCAUGGUAAAUAAAGAGAACCAUGGGUUCAGAAACCCAUGCCCUUUCCUCCCAAACCAUCCAAGAAAAAGGAUGAUGAGGAUUUUGAGCGCUUUGUUGAAAUGAUUAGACCUAUCUUUUUGCAAAUGCGUUUGACAGAUAUGCCCAAAAUGUCUCCUUAUGCUAAGUACAUGAAAGAUAUUGUGACUAAUAAAAGGAAGAUACCUGAGGUUGAGAUUUCCACCAUGCUCGAUAAUUACACCUUCAAGGGUGGAACUCCUAAGAAACUAGGUGAUCCCGGAGGGCCCACUAUACCUUGCUCCAUUAAAGGAAAUUAUGUUAAAUCUGCUUUAUGCGAUCUUGGAGCCGGUGUUAGUGGUAUGCCUCUCUCUUUAUAUCGUAGACUUGAAUUGGAUAAGUUGACGCCUACUGAAAUGUCUUUGCAAAUGGCCGACUGAUACGUCUCCAUCGUAUCUACUUUUCCAAACUCUUUUGCCCUUGUUUUGGAUUCUAAUUUGCAUGAUUUGAAUGGAACUAACCUGGACUGACGUUGUUUUCAGCAGAAUUGCCUUGGUGUUGUUUUUGUGCAGAAAUGAAAGUUCUCGGAACGUCCUGAAAAUUUACGGAGAAUAUUUCUGGAAAAUAUGAAAAAUACCCGCGCAAAGAUGCACCGGAGGGGAUGGGACAGUGGGCCACAAGCCCUGUAGUCGCCACCCCUGGUGGCGGCUAGCAAGCUUGUGGGGCCCACGUGGUUCUGCCGCCCCCAAACUCAGCUCUAUAAAUUCACUUUCGUCCCAGAAAAAAUCAAGAGAGAAGAUUUCGUCGCGUUUGCGAUACGAAGGCGCCGCCACAUCCUGUUCUUCAUCUGGAGGGCAAAUCUGGAGUCCAUUUUGGGCUCCGGAGAGGGGAAAUCGUCGCCAUCGUCAUCAUCAAUCUUCUUCCCUCUCCAAUUCCAUGAAGCUCUUCAUCGUUCGUGAGUAAUCUAUUCGUAGGCUCGCUGGGCGGUGAUGAGUAGGAUGAGAUCUAUCAUGUAAUCGAGUUAGUUUUGACGGGGAUUGAUCCCUAGUAUCCACUAUGUUCUGAGAUUGAUGUUGCUACUACUUUGCCAUGCUUAAUGCUUGUCACUAGGGCCCGAGUGCCAUGAUUUCAGAUCUGAAAUUAUUAUGUUGUCACCAAUAUAUGUGUGUUUUAGAUCCGAUCUUGCAAGUUGUAGUUACAUACUAUGUGUUAUGACCCGGCAACCCCGGAGUGACAAUAACCGGAACCACUCCCGGUGAUGACCAUAGUUUGAGGAGUUCAUGUGUUCACCAAGUGCUAAUGCGUUGGUCCGGUUCUUUAUUAAAAGGAGAACCUUAAUAUCCCGUAGUUUCCUUUUGGACCCCGCUGCCACGGGAGGGAUGGACAAUAGAUGUCAUGCAAGUUCUUUUCCCUAAGCACGUAUGACGACACACGGAAUGCAUGCCUACAUCACAUUGACGAACGGGGGCUAGCCACAUAUCUCUCCGUGUUAUGACUGUUGCAUGAUGAAUAUCAUCCAAACAAAUCACCGACCCAUUGCCUACGAGUUUGUCCCACUGCUGCUGUUACUUGUUUUGAUGUGCUGCUGGUACUUGUUUUGCUCUGCUGUUACUUGCUACUGCUGUUACUUGCUACUGUUGCUACUUGCUACUGCUGUCACUACUGCUAUUCCUUGCCACUGCUGCUACUCGUUACACUGCUGCUACCUGCUACAAUUCUGAUUCGCUCGGCGUUGACGGGAAAAGACAAUUUCCGUCAACGGGCAACUUCUGGCACCAUUGAUACGACAGUUAGGAAUAGUCUGCCGUCAACAGAUUGUUUCUGACACCGUUGCUAUCAUACUACUUUGAUGUUGAUACUUUGCUUGCAAAUAUUAAUCUUUCAGGUGUGGUUGAAUCUGACACAUUCAUGUGCUAAUACUUGAGAGUAUCCUCUCACUUCCUAUUGGCGAAUCAACAAAUUUGGGUUGAAUACUCUACCCUCGAAAACUGCCUCGAUCCCACGCGAUGGUGGGUCAUUGCAAGACAAUUUCUAAUUGUUGAGCAAUCGAGAAUAGCAUUCGUCUAGCCAUUGCCAGAGAUUUCCAUCACCGACAAAUCGACUGCUUUUUCUAUCGGCAUUUGCGAGGAUGUACCUGUUGUGGUUGCUAACGUUACUAUCUUAACGGACUUUGUUAUUUUGGAUAUUCCCGAGGAUGAUGCCAUGGCGCUCAUCCUUGGAAGACCCUUUUUAAACACUGCAGGGGCUGUUAUUGAUUGCAACAAAGGCAAUGUCACUUUCCAUGUUAAUGGUAAUGAACAUACGGUGCACUUUCCGAAGAAACAAUAUCGAGUUCAUUGUAUCAAUGCUAUUGGAAAAUCUUCAUCAAUUCUUAUUGGAAGCUUUGAAUGCCCUAUACCUACUGUCAAGAUGAAGUGUGAUUUACUUGUUGGGGAUAUGCACAUCCCCAUUGAGGUAACCUAGUGAUUAUUCCAAAAUUCUCCGGUUUUAUGUGAUUCGGAAAAAGUUUGUCAAGGAGACUUGAUCAACCUCAUUGACGGAUUUCUUUUGAUGACCAUGAGAUGGAUGAAUCUAGGAGUCGCAACCUUCUGCUCCCAACUUUUACUUUCCAUUGUUUAGAAGAAAAAUGAUAAAUUUAGCUUUAUUUUUCCCGUUUUCUGCUUUUUCCGUCCCUUAGAAAACUGACCUGGAAAUAAAAGUUCUCCAAAUGCCCUGAAAUUCAAGUAUGAUUUUUUCUGGAAUAUUAGAAAAUUUCUGAGAUAGAGAGCUAGUCAGGGGGAUGCACCAGUGGGCCACAAGCCCAGGAGGCGCGGGCACCCCCGUGGACGCGCCUGGCAGGCUUGUGGGUCCCACGUGCCCCCUUCCACUUACUCCAGCUCCCAUCUCCUUCUCCUACCUCCAGAAAAAAUCAUUCCACAGCUCAAACCUGUGUUCUUGCUCUUCUUGCUACAUUUUUCAAUCUCCUUGUGCAAAGGCCCAUUCAUCAAACUGUUUUGGGGAAUUGUUCCUUGGUAUGUGACUCCUCCGUUGGUCCAAUUAGUUUUUGUUCUAGUGCUUUAUUCGUUGCGUAUUUUUGUUGUCUUGGUGAACAUGUUCUUGAGCUUUGCAUGUUAAUUUUAGUUGGUCCCAAGUAGUUUUGAGGCAUGAUAUGGCCUCUAGGCACUUGUAGGAGUAGUUGCUAUGAGUUUUGUUGAGCCUUAUUCAUUUUUCUUUGGAGUCACUAAAAAUUUCAGAAAAAGAAGAUGUUCAGGAAAAACUAUCAUGGUGGUUCUUCAAGCAAAAGGGGUCCCCGUCUCGCGAUUCGGGAGCCCGACCCUUACCAGCCGAGGAACGCACAGGUACAACCAUGUGAAUGGCCUUCCAAUGAAUUCAUGAUUGAUGCACGUUUCAAGGACGAGUUUGAUACAUUUGUUCACAACGCGGGCUCGAGGAAUUCAUCUCCGAUAAAUGUGAACAAUAUACUACUCUCACUGCCUCUUUUGUUCGUAGAUUCAAAUUUUCAGUUGGCCGUGACACAUCCAUACUGUUUGAUCUUUAUGACAAAUCGUAUACCAUGGAUUUAGAGGACUUCAAUAGAAUUUGCAAGAUACCUGAUUGGGGUAGUCUCAAUGAUCCUCCUAAGUCUUCAGUUAGAGAUUUUAUCUCUAGUAUAACUGUCAGAGAAACUAGAGAUAUUAUGCAGGCUACCAUGGGGAGCAUUCGUUUUCCUGCCUUGCAUUAUUUUCCCUCUUCAUAGGUAGAUGCAUUAACGGCAAGACUAAGCAUUGUCACUGCUACUGCAACAAAAGACCUUCCAACGGCGCCAGAAAUAGGCAUGUCGACGGGAGAAUACUUGGCUUGAUCUUUCUGCUGCGGCUACGCCUUGAGGGACUUCCUAGGAAAGUAUGCAAAGGAUUUCCCCCGUGGCCUUGGAGCCUUGCGUUGGUGUUCCCUCGAAGCGUAAAGGCUGAUGUAGCGUAGCGGUGGUAAGUAUUUCCCUCAGUUUGAGAACCAAGGUAUCAAUCCAGUGGAGGAGUAUCUCAAGAUCCUGCACAAACACAAAAACUUGCUCCCAACGCUAUGAAGGGGUUGUCAAUCCCUUAUAGAUUGUUUGCCAAGUGAGAACUGAAAGCAACAAAGUAACAAAGCAAAGUAAAAGCGGAGAUGUAAACGAUGGAUGUGAAUAGACCCGGGGGCCGUAGUGUUUACUAGUGGCUUCUCUCAUGAAAGCAAGUAGACAGUGGGUGAACAAAUUACUGUCGAGCAAUUGAUAGAACCGCGCAAAGUCGUGACAAUAUCUAUGCAAUGAUUAUUUCUAUAGGCAUCACUCCGAAACAAGUAGACCGAUACUGUCUGCAUCUACUACUAUUACUCCACACAUCGACCGCUAUCCAGCAUGCAUCUAGUGUAUUAAGUCCAUAAGAAC